AAAAGGGGGCGGGACUUCCGCCCGGCGGGGCAGUGCGGCCUGGGGUGUGGUUGGUGAUGAGUGUGCGAGCGUGAGUGUGAGUGAGUGAGUGUGCAAGGCGAGUGUGUGCGCCCACCCCUGCGCCCCUUCCCCGCCUACACCUUGAUCUUAUUUGAUCGGGUCGAACCCCAACCCUUAGCCCCGCCGGUUCGACCCGAGAUGAGAAAAACCUCCCUCCUGCGAAGCCCGCCUGUUGGGCCCUGUGCAGUGAGGCCUUCCUGGAGGCGGUGGCGUCACCACCUGAGGCCCUAGUUCGGUCCCGGCCCAGAGUCGGUUCCGAGGGGUCCGGUGCUCGGAUGUGAUGAAUUGAUCAGAUAGACGAGGCCCGGAGGUUCGCCCCCCGGGUCGCUGAUUUAUCAAAGGCGAUUCUGAUCUGA